UUUGCAGGAGCAAUUCAGAAAGGUGCAAAUCUUAUAACAUUGAUGUAUUAGCAGAAUUCAGGCUUCACUCAUGCUCCCAACCUGGUAGUCCUUUAUUAGCUUUACAAAAGCAGUUUAGUUUUGGGGAAGUGCUGUUAUCAUUUAAACUGUAAAUGUCUCCCAAAGUUAGCAUGGCCCAAGCCCAGGAAUGAAUAAAUGCAGUUUGGAGGCUGAAGGCAAGAUGGAGGUUGGUUAGAUUAGAUCUUUUUCACUGUCAUAAUAUUCUCAUUGUUACAAUUUUUGCAAAGGAAGUUACUUAAGAACAAAGGUAAGAAUAAAGUGCUAGAGGCACUCAGUGGAAGAGAAGUGAAACUGGGAAUGUUACAGGUAGUCAGACAGGCCUAAGUGGGGCAAGUGAGGGCUCUCCCCAUCUGGCUAGCAAUAUCUGGUGAUGGUCUGCAAUUGUCUCUUUGUGUCUCUAAAAAUGGUAAUUCAGAAACCAGGGAGAGGCAAUCUCCUGAUCAUCCACACCUGUUAAUAUUAUAAGUGUUCACUAAAGCCACGCAAGGUGGCUCACGCCUGUAAUCCCAGCACUUUGGGAGGCCGAGGCAGGCAGAUUGCCUGAGCUCAGGAGUUCAAGACCACCUUGGGUAACAGUGAAACCCCGUCUCUACUAAAAUACAAAAAAUUAGGCGUGGCCACGUGCACCUUUAAUCCCAGCUACUUGGGAGGCUGAGGCAGGAUGAUUGCUUGAACCUGGAAGGCGAAGGUUGCAGUGAGUGGAGAACGCAACACUGCACUCCAGCCCGGGCAAUAGGGUGAGAGACUCCCUCUCAAAAAAAAAAAAAAAGUGUUAACUGAAUGCAGGCCCCAAGGGGAAGCAGUCUCUUGGGCAUACUUGUUAAGAGACAAAAUGGUGGAGUAUGACGUUUUGGCGCACCCACCACCGGAAAAAGAAAACAGUCUCCAAUGCGCAUGUGUAUAACUGCCUCAGCACACUGCACAUGCUCAGUUCCAAGGUAAGGAAAGCACACUGCACAUGCUCAGUUCCAAGGUAAGGGAAGCACACU
rnacentral:lncRNA from 1 species